rnacentral:tRNA from 1 species
AUUGAAGUGCCUGAUUAAAGGAUUAUCGUGAUAGGAUAAAUCAAGUAAUUAAAAUUACCUUCAGUAU